AUUUAAAAAUCACAAGAAGAACUUCUCUGUUAUCCAGAGUUGAUAACAAAAAAAUGCAUUCUUUGGAGACUUCAUCCCAGGAAGGAGCAAGUCAGGCAUUAAUUUCCAUUUCCUGUCUCUUGUUCUCACCUUCAGGAAGUUCCCAGCACAAUCCAGAGCCCUGUGUGGACACUGAUCUCCAUAAGGACUGUUUAUUGCCGGGACCCUGCUGCACCAGAAAGAUAAGAAGGAGGAGGAAGAGGAGAAGAGAGGUGCACAAUGCCAUUACUGAGAAAAGAGCCAGCAAUUUUGAAUUCCCCAUUGGACCAGGAGCAGCAGUCCUGGUAAAUGUUCAACAACUGGCUCUGCAGGCACCAAAUUAGACACCAGGAACACAACGGUGGACCCACAUCAUGAGUGAUGGAAUUUACUCUCUGUGGCCGCUAUAAGAGAGAGUGAGUAGANUGGUGGUUCAGCUAUGUAAACCUGUCGGACCCAUAUCAUGAGUGAUGGAAUUUACUCUCUGUGGCCGCUAUAAGAGAGAGUGAGUAGAAAGACCAGUUUAAAGUAACUUAGUCUAAUUUAGGGAGGAAAGUGUUUUGAAUACAUAUAUGAACAGAUUUAAUUAUAUCGUACGAUUGGUGGCUAAGGCAGUGUCUAUUUAAGGAAGUGCCCUGAUGGUGACAGACAGAACUUUCUUAAGAAGGGAGUAUGUUCUGGUCCGUCUGCCACUUUGUCUUUUUUUUCCUUUAACACAAAAGACAAGUGAAAGUUAAAACGGAAACUUCUGGAGGGGGCAUGAGAUGAGUAUUCUAAUUAUUAAAGAUUCCUUUCAAGCCUUCAGAUGGCACAUGGAGUUGAAACU
rnacentral:lncRNA from 1 species